UAGGUUACAGCCGCCCUGCGUAACACAGCAUGUCAUUAUCAAGCUCACCUGCCAAAAGUCGGGCUACGUCACGUCAGGUCAGUUUUGUGGGUGAAAUGUUGUCGCUCUCCUGCUGCUCUUAGUCUGUGAUAGUUUCUCGGUAGCUCCUUACAAGCUGACAACCUCAAACGCCACUACUGCCCUGACUGUAUCCGAGCUUACCUGUCCAGCUGUGGGUCCGUGAAGACGUCCGACACCGCCGGGCCGCCUCGUUUCAACAAGCUAGCAAAAAAAAAUGUAGUUCAAUGCAAACAAGAUCCUGAAGAAUCACGACAGAAGGAGAAGUCAAAGCCAGUGAUACAGCAGUUAAACCCCAGGAGAUGACCCUUGCACUCCGUUACCCAAACCACACCCUGAGGUGAAAUGAGUCCAGAGGAGUGUGAGGGGCCCUACAUUGUGAUGGCUGAGCUUAAAAAGGAUUUAAACACUACUACUUAACGGCUCUUAACCUCACCGACCCUUUUGGGACUAAUACAAAUCCUGUUGUGCUAGAGAAUUACAUUAAGCCAUUGCUUUGAACCCGGGUCCCCAGUGAGCACAUGAAUUGGAGCAUUUAUGGUAGGUUUAUUGUUGUUUAAGGUUUUCAGGCCGCAAUUCCCUAACUUGACAAGUAUGAGCCAAACCACACCCUGAUUGUGUAUGGGCCACUCAUGAGCGUAUGAGUGAUUUUAUUUAGUGAAGAUUGUCCACGUUUUUCAAUAUUUUGUCAACAUUUACUGCCAGUAAUCAAACACUGAAAUUAGACAAGUGGAAAAAUCAUCAGUGGUUGUUUUUAUCUCUGUAUUUCUCGUUCUUAUGACUUGCAUACAACUUCAACAAUUAGCCUGAAUUUCAUGAAGUCAUCGUCUGAACAUCCUGAUCUCACCUUAUUCAGCUGUGACUGAAACUAAGUGGAGCCUGUGCUGCAGGUGCAGGAAGUGUUUUGUUUGGAUUUGUGUUGUUUGGAUUUUAUCUUGCCUCCCUUAGAAAUGACAUGAAUAGGUUCCAAUUCUCUCCCACCACCUAAUGAUUGGCGAGCAUGGCAGAGCUAUAACCGUGACGAGACAGUGCCACUGAGGAAAAGACAGGAGGCAGAGCUUGAGGUAGCAGAGAUGACGAUGCUAAAGGUUCUCUUUGGGAAUGACCAAGAUGGAUAGGAUCAGAAAUGAGUACAUCAGAGGGACAGCACAUGUUAGAAGAUUUGGAGAUAAAGUCAGAGAGAGGCCAGACUGAGAUGGUUC